UAUCUCUGUAGAGUCUGCAUAUCAAUAAGCGGAGGAAAAGAAACUAACUAAGGAUUCCCUUAGUAACGGCGAGUGAAGCGGGAAGAGCUCAAAUUUGAAAUCUUCAAGGUUCUACCUUGACGAAUUGUAGUUUAAAGAAGUGUUUUCUGUUAGAUGAGUAGCAAAAGUUCCUUGGAAUGGGACAUCAUAGAGGGUGAGAAUCCCGUAUUUGGUUAUUCAUUCUAGCUUUGUGAUACACUUUCAAAGAGUCGGAUUGUUUGGGAAUGCAGUCCAAAAUGGGUGGUAAAUUUCAUCUAAAGCUAAAUAUUGGCGAGAGACCGAUAGCGAACAAGUACCGUGAGGGAAAGAUGAAAAGAACUUUGAAAAGAGAGUUAAACAGUACGUGAAAUUGUCAAAAGGGAAGCGUUUGACACCAGUGUUGUUUUUCCGAAGAUCAAUUACGAAUGGCUUGAUUUUGUGUUGUAUUGACCUUAUCAGCUUUCUGCACUUUUUUCGAGUCUUUCUUAAUGCACUUUUCGGUUAACAAGUCAACAUCAAUUUCUUUUGUUGUAAAAGAGUAUUCGGAAGGUGGCUUUCCUUUCGGAGAAAGUGUUUAUAGCCCUAUACUUCUACAAUCGGAGAGAUUGAGGUCUGCAGCGUAGAUCCUUCGGGGUUAGAUACAUUUGUGCUAAGUUGUAGCUUUUCAUAGACAACUUGUUGACUAUGUUUAGUCAUGCGGCUUACUCGCUUAUGCUAUUUUACCUACGCUUAGGAUGUUGACUGAUAUGUAGUCGUA
rnacentral:rRNA from 1 species